CCUACGGGAGGCAGCAGUGGGGAAUAUUGCACAAUGGGCGCAAGCCUGAUGCAGCCAUGCCGCGUGUGUGAAGAAGGCCUUCGGGUUGUAAAGCACUUUCAGCGGGGAGGAAGGCGUUAAGGUUAAUAACCUUGUCGAUUGACGUUACCCGCAGAAGAAGCACCGGCUAACUCCGUGCCAGCAGCCGCGGUAAUACGGAGGGUGCAAGCGUUAAUCGGAAUUACUGGGCGUAAAGCGCACGCAGGCGGUCUGUCAAGUCGGAUGUGAAAUCCCCGGGCUCAACCUGGGAACUGCAUUCGAAACUGGCAGGCUAGAGUCUUGUAGAGGGGUGUAGAAUUCCAGGUGUAGCGGUGAAAUGCGUAGAGAUCUGGAGGAAUACCGGUGGCGAAGGCGGCCCCCUGGACAAAGACUGACGCUCAGGUGCGAAAGCGUGGGGAGCAAACAGGAUUAGAACCCUUGUAGUC
rnacentral:rRNA from 1 species